AUACGAAGGGGGCUAGCGUUGUUCGGAAUUACGGGGCGUAAAGCGCGCGUAGGCGGAUUGGUCAGUUAGGGGUGACAUCCCAGUGCUUAACCCUGGAACUGCCUCUAAUACUGCCAGUCUUGAGUUCGGGAGAGGUGAGUGGAAUUCCUAGUGUAGAGGUGACAUUCGUAGAUAUUAGGAAGAACACCAGUGGCGAAGGCGGCUCACUGGCCCGAUACUGACGCUGAGGCGCGAAAGCGUGGGGAGCAAACAGGAUUAGAUACCCUAGUAGUCC
rnacentral:rRNA from 1 species